AGCAGCCGCGGUAAUUCCAGCUCCAAUAGCGUAUAUUAAAGUUGUUGCAGUUAAAAAGCUCGUAGUUGAAUUUCGGGAUUGACACAUCGGUCGUGCCUUAAGGGGUAUGAACUGGUGUAGUUCAAUUUCUCACCUUCUGGAGAACCGCGAUGCCCUUAAUUGGGUGUCGCGGGGAACCAGGACCUUUACUUUGAAAAAUUAGAGUGUUUAAAGCAGGCAUUUUGCUUGAAUACAUUAGCAUGGAAUAAUAAAAUAGGACGGCAUGAUUCUAUUUUGUUGGUUUCUAGGAUCACCGUAAUGAUUAAUAGGGAUAGUUGGGGGCAUUAGUAUUCAAUUGUCAGAGGUGAAAUUCUUGGAUUUAUUGAAGACUAACUACUGCGAAAGCAUUUGCCAAGGAUGUUUUCAUUAAUCAAGAACGAAAGUUAGGGGAUCGAAGACGAUCAGAUACCGUCGUAGUCUUAACCAUAAACUAUGCCGACUAGGAAUCGAGACGAUGUUAAUUUUUAAUUGACUCGUUUGG
rnacentral:rRNA from 1 species